GUUCAUCAUCUUCAUAUCAUAUUUUUUAUUCUGAUAUUUCGUUAAUGGAGGUAUGUUGUUUAUACAAUAUUUAUUUUGUUAUUGUUGACUAAGCGUUCAUCAUAUGCAUGUAAUUUUUGUUCUCUUGAUAGUGCAGACUACCCGUUCAUCAGAUUCAUAUCAUAUUUGUUCUUAUGAUAUUUCAUUGAUGAAAUUCAUAUUUUGAUUUAUAUUUGUGUGAUUUUCAGAACAAAGAUAAUGUUGAUAACAAUAACAAAGACUUUUCUGAUAACAAUGGUCGGAAUGUUAAGCAAUCCAAAGUGAAUCAAGAUUUGAAGAAAAAAAAGAAGAUGUGAGAUUUGUUUUGGUGUUGGUCAUGAUAGGAAGAACUGUCCUCAAACAUUGGUCAAGAGAGAGUAGAUGUUUACUUCGUCAAGAUAUAUUAGAAAUUGAAUAAUGUUUUCAAUUUAGUUAUCGGAUGUUAUGGAGUUUUAUUUCAGUCUAAUAAUGAUAUGGAUUCAUGAAUUUUAGGGGUUUAUCCUUGUAAGUUUAUGUUUUCAUUAAAUUAAUAUUAAUAAUUUUCAUUUUGAGUUUGAUU
rnacentral:lncRNA from 1 species